UACAGAGGGGGCAAGCGUUGUCCGGAUUUACUGGGCGUACAGCGCGCGCAGGCGGUUGCGUAUGUGAGCGGUGACAUCCGCGGGCUCAACCCGCGGCGGCCCGCUUACACAGCGCGACUGGAGGCAGGGAGAGGGAUGUGGAAUACCCGGUGGAGCGGUGAAAUUCGUAGAUAUUCGGAGGAACACCAGUGGCGAAGGCGGCUCACUGGCUCGAUACUGACGCUGAGGUGCGAAAGCGUGGGGAGCAAACAGG
rnacentral:rRNA from 1 species